GCGAAGCCAGCGUGUCUUAGGUGGCGGUGCGCAUACGCAGUCCGCGUCAGCAGCCAGCAUCUUCCCUGGGGGCGGAGCUUGUUUUCCUCAGGACUGAGCGGGCGGCGCCAUGGAGGCUCCAGGACAGCGCUGCCUGCGUGUCCGCGGGAGGAGGACGCUCCCCGCCCGCUAUCUGAAGUUACGCCGGUUUCCCACUGCCUGCGCCCGCUCCCUGCCGGGGUGUGUGUGGACCUGACCGAGCUGGGGCCGCGGCCGGCUGGGCAGGAGGGGACGGGUGCGCUGGCGGGCCCGCUUCGACUAUUCUCCUCGCCCGCAGGGAGCCGAUUGAAUCUGACUGAGACAUAACUUCGAUGAGAUCACACUGCUAUAAAACGUCAGUAUUGAAAAUCAAAUAUUUCAUACUAUUUCUCAAUCUUGAAAGAAAGAGUAUUUCCAAAAAAAAAAAAAAGAGGAGUUGUUAAGGAGACAAUGGAAAAGACUUCUAAAUAACUACAGCAUUUGGCCAGUUCACAAUGGAGGAAAUAAUGAACAGCUGUACUCUGAUAGACACUAAAAAAAUUCCUUUUAUGGGCCCCAAGAUCCCUGACAUCACAAGGAAAUGAUUCAUUUACAACUUGGGUAACAGAUCUUACCAAAUGUCCCAGGGAAGAAUUACUCCACGUGGAGACCUACUGCUUAAAAAAAUAAAUAAAUACAUAAAAAACUCUGAGCAACACACCUAGCCACUUAAAAGCAUAAUCCUUCAGCCUCUCUUCCUUGGAAACCUGGUGGAAUCAGUGCUGCAGCUGUCACCCAUUCUCUACGAAAAUCACUGCCUUUGUCUGAAGUAGUAAAGCUGAGAUACUGCACUCAAGAACUCACUACCAAGCAGUGAGCAAUCUCCUCUCUACAAACAUCAUGGACUCAACUCAGGAGCCCUUUAUCCUUUACCCUCUUCCUCCACCCUCUAAGGUAGAUGGAGGUAGUAACCAGAUGUGCUUUAUUCAAUCUAUGGUUUCUGCCAAUAGCCACAUUAGAGAAAUGAAGCUGCUCUUGUUGGUUCAAAAACGGACCCCAUACAUAGAGUGCAAAGAGAGACUGAAGAAAGAGGCAAACCACUCCAGACUGGUAUGUGGCAGGUUUAAUAAGCA